GCAAUGUUCCAACAUCUAGUGGAAAGCCUUCCCAGAAGAGUGGAGGCUGUUAUAGCAACAAUGUUCCUACAUCUAGUGGAAAGCCUUCCCAGAAGAGUGGAGGCUGUUAUAGCAGCAAUGUUCCAACAUCUAGUGGAAAGCCUUCCCAGAAGAGUGGAGGCUGUUAUAGCAACAAUGCUCCAACAUCUAGUGGAAAGCCUUCCCAGAAGAGUGGAGGCUGUUAUAGCAGCAAUGUUCCAACAUCUAGUGGAAAGCCUUCCCAGAAGAGUGGAGGCUGUUAUAGCAGCAAUGUUCCAACAUCUAGUGGAAAGCCUUCCCAGAAGAGUGGAGGCUGUUAUAGCAGCAAUGUUCCAACAUCUAGUGGAAAGCCUUCCCUGAAGAGUGGAGGCUGUUAUAGCAGCAAAAGAGGGACCAACUCCAUAUUAAUGCCCAUGACUUUGUAAUGAGAUGAUGGCUGAGCAGGUCUCCACAUACUUUUACAGUGCAGUGUAUGUAGACCUAGAGUCCUGCUCUGCUCUCUCCUCCAGCCAGGUCCAUUAGUUUAAUGUAGUGGUAGACAGGACUCCAGCCAGGUCCAUUAGUUUAAUGUAGUGGUAGACAGGACUCCAGCCAGGUCCAUUAGUUUAAUGUAGUGGUAGACAGGACUCCAGCCAGGUCCAUUAGUUUAAUGUAGUGGUAGACAGGACUCCAACCAGGUCCAUUAGUUUAAUGUAGUGGUAGACAGGACUCCAGCCAGGUCCAUUAGUUUAAUGUAGUGGUAGACAGGACUCCAACCAGGUCCAUUAGUUUAAUGUAGUGGUAGACAGGACUCCAGCCAGGUCCAUUAGUUUAAUGUAGUGGUAGACAGGACUCCAACCAGGUCCAUUAGUUUAAUGUAGUGGUAGACAGGACUCCAGCCAGGUCCAUUAGUUUAAUGUAGUGGUAGACAGGACUCCAGCCAGGUCCAUUAGUUUAAUGUAGUGGUAGACAGGACUCCAGCCAGGUCCAUUAGUUUAAUGUAGUGGUAGACAGGACUCCAGCCAGGUCCCAUUAGUUUAAUGUAGUGGUAGACAGGACUCCAGCCAGGUCCAUUAGUUUAAUGUAGACAGGACUCCAGCCAGGUCCAUUAGUUUAAUGUAGUGGUAGACAGGACUCCAGCCAGGUCCAUUAGUUUAAUGUAGUGGUAGACAGGACUCCAGCCAGGUCCCAUUAGUUUAAUGUAGUGGUAGACAGGACUCCAGCCAGGUCCAUUAGUUUAAUGUAGUGGUAGACAGGACUCCAGCCAGGUCCAUUAGUUUAAUGUAGUGGUAGACAGGACUCCAGCCAGGUCCCAUUAGUUUAAUGUAGUGGUAGACAGGACUCCAGCCAGGUCCAUUAGUUUAAUGUAGUGGUAGACAGGACUCCAACCAGGUCCAUUAGUUUAAUGUAGUGGUAGACAGGACUCCAGCCAGGUCCAUUAGUUUAAUGUAGUGGUAGACAGGACUCCAGCCAGGUCCAUUAGUUUAAUGUAGUGGUAGACAGGACUCCAGCCAGGUCCAUUAGUUUAAUGUAGUGGUAGACAGGAC